GUGCCAGCCGCCGCGGUAAUACGUAGGGCGCAAGCGUUGUCCGGAAUUAUUGGGCGUAAAGAGCUCGUAGGCGGUCUGUCGCGUCUGGUGUGAAAUCCCGAGGCUCAACUUCGGGCUUGCAUCGGGUACGGGCGGACUAGAGUGCUGUAGGGGAGACUGGAAUUCCUGGUGUAGCGGUGGAAUGCGCAGAUAUCAGGAGGAACACCGAUGGCGAAGGCAGGUCUCUGGGCAGUUACUGACGCUGAGGAGCGAAAGCAUGGGGAGCGAACAGGAUUAGAAACCCGCGUAGUCC
rnacentral:rRNA from 1 species